rnacentral:rRNA from 1 species
CGUCACUCCUACGGGAGGCAGCAGUGGGGAAUUUUGGACAAUGGGCGAAAGCCUGAUCCAGCCAUGCCGCGUGCAGGAUGAAGGCCUUCGGGUUGUAAACUGCUUUUGUACGGAACGAAACGGCCUUUUCUAAUAAAGAGGACUAAUGACGGUACCGUAAGAAUAAGCACCGGCUAACUACGUGCCAGCAGCCGCGGUAAUACGUAGGGUGCAAGCGUUAAUCGGAAUUACUGGGCGUAAAGCGUGCGCAGGCGGUUAUGUAAGACAGUUGUGAAAUCCCCGGGCUCAACCUGGGAACUGCAUCUGUGACUGCAUAGCUAGAGUACGGUAGAGGGGGAUGGAAUUCCGCGUGUAGCAGUGAAAUGCGUAGAUAUGCGGAGGAACACCGAUGGCGAAGGCAAUCCCCUGGACCUGUACUGACGCUCAUGCACGAAAGCGUGGGGAGCAAACAGGAUUAGAAACCCGGGUAGUCCCAUGAU